rnacentral:rRNA from 1 species
UUCGCAAUGCCCGAAAGGGUGACGAAGCGACGCCGCGUGCGGGAAGAAGGCCUUCGGGUUGUAAACCGCUGUCGGGAGUUAAGAAAUGUAAGGAUGUUAAUAGCAUCUUUGCUUGACUAAGGCUCCGGAGGAAGCCACGGCUAACUCUGUGCCAGCAGCCGCGGUAAUACAGAGGCGGCAAGCGUUGUUCGGAAUUAUUGGGCGUAAAGAGCACGUAGGCGGCUAUGUAAGUCGGUUGUGAAAGCCUUCCGCUCAACGGGAGAACAGCAUCCGAUACUGCAUGGCUUGAGUGCGGGAGGGGAGAGUGGAACUUCUGGUGGAGCGGUGAAAUGCGUAGAUAUCAGAAGGAACGCCGGCGGCGAAAGCGGCUCUCUGGCCCAUAACUGACGCUGAGUGUGCGAAAGCUAGGGGAGCAAACGGGAUUAGAUACCCCGGUAGUCCUAGCCGUAAACGAUGGGCACUAAGUAGAGGGGUUUUAAUCUC